AACGAACGCUGGCGGCAUGCCUAACACAUGCAAGUCGAACGAGACCUUCGGGUCUAGUGGCGCACGGGUGCGUAACGCGUGGGAACCUGCCCUUAGGUUCGGAAUAACUCCCCGAAAGGGGUGCUAAUACCGGAUAAUGUCUUCGGACCAAAGAUUUAUCGCCUUUGGAUGGUCCCGCGUUGGAUUAGCUAGUUGGUAGGGUAAAAGCCUACCAAGGCGACGAUCCAUAGCUGGUCUGAGAGGAUGAUCAGCCACACUGGGACUGAGACACGGCCCAGACUCCUACGGGAGGCAGAAGUGGGGAAUAUUGGACAAGGGGCGAAAGCCUGAUCCAGCAAUGCCGCGUGAGUGAUGAAGGCCUUAGGGUUGUAAAGCUCUUUUACCCGGGAUGAUAAUGACAGUACCGGGAGAAUAAGCUCCGGCUAACUCCGUG
rnacentral:rRNA from 1 species